rnacentral:rRNA from 1 species
AUUGAUUUUAUGCUUGCAUAAAUGAUUUUUGGAUUCGGAGCGAGUGGCGAACUGGUGAGUAACACGUGGGUAACCUACCCCGAAGCGGGGGAUAACAUUUGGAAACAAGUGCUAAUACCGCAUAAUUAGUUGGAACCGCAUGGUUCCAACUUGAAAGAUGGCUCUGCUAUCACUUUGGGAUGGACCCGCGCCGUAUUAGUUAGUUGGUGAGAUAAAAGCCCACCAAGACGAUGAUACGUAGCCGACCUGAGAGGGUAAUCGGCCACAUUGGGACUGAGACACGGCCCAGACUCCUACGGGAGGCAGCAGUAGGGAAUCUUCCACAAUGGACGAAAGUCUGAUGGAGCAACGCCGCGUGAGUGAUGAAGGUUUUCGGAUCGUAAAACUCUGUUGUUAAAGAAGAACAAGUGUUAGAGUAACUGUUAACACUUUGACGGUAUUUAACCAGAAAGCCACGGCUAACUACGUGCCAGCAGCCGCGGUAAUACGUAGGUGGCAAGCGUUGUCCGGAUUUAUUGGGCGUAAAGCGAGCGCAGGCGGUUUUGUAAGUCUGCUGUGAAAGCCCUCAGCUCAACUGAGGAAGUGCAGUGGAAACUACAAAACUUGAGUACAGAAGAGGAAAGUGGAACUCCAUGUGUAGCGGUGAAAUGCGUAGAUAUAUGGAAGAACACCAGUGGCGAAGGCGGCUUUCUGGUCUGUUACUGACGCUGAGGCUCGAAAGCAUGGGUAGCGAACAGGAUUAGAUACCCUGGUAGUCCAUGCCGUAAACGAUGAAUACUAGGUGUUGGAGGGUUUCCGCCCUUCAGUGCCGCAGCUAACGCAUUAAGUAUUCCGCCUGGGGAGUACGACCGCAAGGUUGAAACUCAAAGGAAUUGACGGGGGCCCGCACAAGUGGUGGAGCAUGUGGUUUAAUUCGAUGCUACGCGAAGAACCUUACCAGCUCUUGACAUCUUCUGCCAACCCAAGAGAUUGGGCGUUCCCUUCGGGGACAGAAUGACAGGUGGUGCAUGGUUGUCGUCAGCUCGUGUCGUGAGAUGUUGGGUUAAGUCCCGCAACGAGCGCAACCCUUAUUAUUAGUUGCCAGCAUUUAGUUGGGCACUCUAGUGAGACUGCCGGUGAUAAA